rnacentral:tRNA from 1 species
GUAGCUCAGUUGGUUAGAGUACCGGCCUGUCACGCCGGGGGUCGCGGGUUCGAGCCCCGUCA